UGUAUUUAUUAGAUUAAAAACCAAUGCCCUUCGGGGCUCCUUGGUGAUUCAUAAUAACUUAACGAAUCGCAUGGCCUUGUGCCGGCGAUGGUUCAUUCAAAUUUCUGCCCUAUCAACUUUCGAUGGUAGUAUAUGGGACUACCAUGGUUUCAACGGGUAACGGGGAAUUAGGGUUCUAUUCCGGAGAGGGAGCCUGAGAAACGGCUACCACAUCCAAGGAAGGCAGCAGGCGCGCAAAUUACCCAAUCCCGACACGGGGAGGUAGUGACAAUAAAUACUGAUACAGGGCUCUUUUGGGUCUUGUAAUUGGAAUGAGUACAAUUUAAAUCCCUUAACGAGGAACAAUUGGAGGGCAAGUCUGGUGCCAGCAGCCGCGGUAAUACCAGCUCCAAUAGCGUAUAUUAAAGUUGUUGCAGUUAAAAAGCUCGUAGUUGAACCUUGGGCCUGGCUGGCCGGUCCGCCUCACCGCGUGCACUGGUCCGGCCGGGUCUUUCCUCCUGGGGAGCCGCAUGCCCUUCACUGGGUGUGUCGGGGAACCAGG
rnacentral:rRNA from 1 species